rnacentral:rRNA from 1 species
AGUAGUCAUAUGCUUGUCUCAAAGAUUAAGCCAUGCAUGUCUCAGUGCAAACUAAACUAAAGUGAAACCGCGAAUGGCUCAUUAAAUCAGUUAUGGUUCCUUGGAUCCUACUUAUCCUACUUGGAUAACUGUGGUAAUUCUAGAGCUAAUACAUGCACCCAGAGCCCCGUCCAGAAAUGGUCGGAGCGCAGUUAUUAGACCAAAACCAAUCGGUCGGGUCCGCCCGUCCGUUUGUUUGGUGACUCUGAAUAACCACUGCUGAUCGCACGGCCUCGCGCCGGCGACGUAUCCUUCGAAUGUCUGCCUUAUCAACUGUCGAUGGUAGGUUCUGCGCCUACCAUGGUUGUAACGGGUAACGGGGAAUCAGGGUUCGAUUCCGGAGAGGGAGCCUGAGAAACGGCUACCACAUCCAAGGAAGGCAGCAGGCGCGCAAAUUACU